CCUACGGGUGGCAGCAGUGAGGAAUAUUGGUCAAUGGGCGCGAGCCUGAACCAGCCAAGUAGCGUGAAGGAUGACUGCCCUACGGGUUGUAAACUUCUUUUAUAAAGGAAUAAAGUGAGGCACGUGUGCCUUUUUGUAUGUACUUUAUGAAUAAGGAUCGGCUAACUCCGGGCCAGCAGCCGCGGUAAUACGGAGGAUCCGAGCGUUAUCCGGAUUUAUUGGGUUUACAGGGAGCGUAGAGGGGUUGGUAAGUCAGUUGUGAAAGUUUGCGGCUCAACCGUAAAAUUGCCAUUGAUACUGGCAGCCUUGAGUACAGUUGAGGUCGGCGGAAUUCGUGGUGUAGCUGUGAAAUGCUUAGAUAUCAC
rnacentral:rRNA from 1 species